CCUACGGGCGACAGCAGUGAGGAAUAUUGGUCAAUGGUCGCGAGCCUGAACCAGCCAAGCCGCGUGAGGGAGGAAUGCCCUACGGGUUGUAAACCUCUUUUAUAAAGGAAUAAAGUCUGGCACGUGUCCCUUUUUGUGUGUACCUUAUGAAUAAGGAUCGGCUAACUCCGUGCCAGCCGCCGCGGUAAUACGGAGGAUGCGAGCGUUAUCCGGAUUUAUUGGGUUUAAAGGGUGCGUAGGUGGUUUGUUAAGUCAGUUGUGAAAGUCUGCGGCUCAACCUUACAAUUGCAGUUGAAACUGGCAGUCUUGAGUGCAGGAGAGGUGGGCGGAAUGCGUGGUGUAGCGGUGAAAUGCGUAGAUAUCGCGAAGAACACCGAUUGCGAAGGCAGCUCACUGGACUGAAACUGACGCUGAGGCUCGAAAGUGUGGGUAUCAAACAGGAUUAGAUACCCGGGUAGUC
rnacentral:rRNA from 1 species